UACAGAGGUCCCGAGCGUUGUUCGGAUUCAUUGGGCGUAAAGGGUGUGUAGGAGGUCAGGUAAGUCGGGCGUGAAAUCCCACUGCUUAACAGUGGAACUGCGUUCGAUACUGCUUGGCUAGAGGAUUGGAGGGGGGAUCGGAAUUUAUGGUGUAGCAGUGAAAUGCGUAGAUAUCAUAAGGAACACCGGUGGCGAAGGCGGAUCCCUGGAAAAUUCCUGACUCUGAAACACGAAAGCUAGGGGAGCAAACGGG
rnacentral:rRNA from 1 species